UGCAGUGUGGUGGUAGAGUCCAUGCCUAGCCAGCGUGAGGCCCUGGGUUCAAUUCCCAGCCUUGCAC
rnacentral:tRNA from 1 species